rnacentral:sRNA from 1 species
GUAACAAAACGAAAUAUAAAUCACAGUUCCGCCCCAGUUCAGUCAAGGGCACGCCCAGAAAUCUCGUAUGAUUGCAGAUGUUGCCUCUCGGCCCGGUCCAUAUGAGAGGCUUCGGAUCUCAGCCCCCCAGCCCCCCGGGGUCUUCUCUCGGACCGGGCCCACUUCUUAGAGGCCACUCAAAUGGGCCGGCGAAAGCCGGCCCUUUU